CGCGUUUGCGUCCACCAGCGGUGGCGAUGGAUCCACCGGUAUCAUCGGCCACGUCCAGCAGCGGACCAUCGAGGUGCUAUACAACGUCGGCGGCAGCGCCGUCGGGUUCCGCCGUCGCGCGUGCUGAGCAGCUAUCAGUCUAUCACCGUUUGAGCUCUUGGGGCAUGUCUAUAGGGCCUUUAACCUAUGGCCGAUAAAAUAAGCCCGUUUGAUUAGUGUUUUGCAUGCUGUAUCUCCCUUUACAUGUAUUUUGUGUGUGAUUUAUUGAUUGUAAAAGCUUAUUGUAUGAAAUGAUGCUUAAGAUCUAUUUUUCUA